GAUGAACGCUGGCGGCGUGCCUAACACAUGCAAGUCGAGCGAACAGACGAGGAGUUUGCUCCUCUGACGUUACCGGCGGACGGGUGAGUCAUACGUGGCUAACCUCACUACAAGACUGGGCUAACUUCGGGAAACCGGAGUUCCUACUGGUUAAUAAAUAGAACAGCAUGGUUUUAUAAUGAAAGUCAGCUUUGCUGUCACUCAUAGAUGGACACGCGCCGCAUUAGCUAGUUGGUAAGGUACAGGCUUACCAAGGCUACGUUGCGUAGCCGACCUGAGAGGAUGAGCGGCCGCACUGGAACUGUGACACGGUCCAAGCUCCUACGGGAGGGAGCAUUAGGGAAUCUUGCGGAAUGGGCGAAAGCUUGACGACACAACGCCGCGUGACUGAUGAAGCACUUCUGAGUGUAAGACGCUGUUAUUAGGGAAGAACAAUGGUGUAAGUAACGAUGCACGUCUUGACGGUACCUAAACAGAAAGCCACGGCUAACUACGUG
rnacentral:rRNA from 1 species